rnacentral:rRNA from 1 species
UCAGGCCUAACACAUGCAAGUCGUGCGGAAAGGCCCCUUCGGGGGUACUCGAGCGGCGACGGGUGAGUAACACGUGAGUGACCUGCCCUUCACUCUGGGAUAACCCUCGGAAACGGGGGCUAAUACCGGAUAGGACCUGCUGCUGCAUGGUGGUGGGUGGAAAGGGCUCUCUUUCGGGAGGGUCUGGUGGGGGAUGGGCUCGCGGCCUAUCAGCUUGUUGGUGGGGUGAUGGCCUACCAAGGCGGUGACGGGUAGCCGGCCUGAGAGGGCGACCGGCCACACUGGGACUGAGACACGGCCCAGACUCGUACGGGAGGCAGCAGUGGGGAAUAUUGCACAAUGAGCGAAAGCUUGAUGCAGCGACGCCGCGUGAGGGAUGACGGCCUUCGGGUUGUAAACCUCUUUCAGCUCUGACGAAGCUGCGGUUUANGGGUGGACG